CUGAUUGUUAGCUUUCUUUUCUCAAACUGCUCUUUCAGUCUCUCUUCAGAAUAUGACUCCUUUAUUCCAAGUGCAAAUUCAAACAAGGAACCUCACUGUGAAAUAAAUUCUACACAGUUAUCUGAGAGGUGUGCUGGCAGCCGCAGAUAGCCUGAUGGAGGGGAAGGCACACAAAUCUUCCUCCCAGAACCCUAGAAUGAGAAAUUCACCUUCUACAGCCAGCUAGCAGGCACCGGGCAUGGGUCCACACACGAGUGUACACGUAUACAUAACCCCAGCCCACCACGACUGCUGUGCAGCCUCCUCCUGAAAAAUGUAAGCCAUUUCCACUUUGUAAAGCUACGUUUAUAUUCCACCACGAUACGAUGGAAAAGAAAACCCAAGGCAAUUUAAUAUACGGGUUGGGAAGAAAGUUUUGCUGAUGGAACUACAUUAGCCUCCACUCCAGCAAAGCAAACAAGGAACCACACUAAAGAAAUGUACUGAAUCUUUUAACUAGAUCUUUCUCCUCAUUCAUUACAUUUGCCAACUAUGUGCCACAUAUCUGAGUUCUGGAUUUGUUUCUGUUUGCUCUGCUUCAUAUAAAAAAAUAGAAAAGAAGGAAAGAACCACUUAGUGGUUGCUUUUGGUUGUAACACAAGAUGACUCAUUUGGACUUUUGUUUUCCCCGUUUGAAGAAAUGAUAGCUCGAACAGCUGAAAAAUAAGCCCACUCCCACCAGUAUUCUAGGAGUACCAAAAGGUGAAAGAGGGAGAGUUACAGUCAGGGCAAGAACCACCAGAGGCAAGCAGGGCCAAGAAGACCUCAGGCGUCUUGAGUAAGUAGGCGUCCUCCACCCACACUCAGAGCAAAAGGCUCCCAUUUUAAAUAUCGCACGGUGACGUCAUCCUGGGACCUCGUCACCGCGGCGGCUGCUCCUCAAGUUCUACUUUGUUCCACAAGGCUCCUCUGCUCACGGCUGCGUGGAUAAAACCCAAAGGGAAUCCAGAAUCAAGCUCGGCCUCGCAGGAGUUUAUAACUUUUGUACUUUUCCCUCCCUUGUAACGAAAAGCUAAUCGCAAACGUUUCUAGGAACACAUUUUUCUCCUGAUAGACGUUCCCAAGGUGGAGGGCGCGAGAAGACUGGCCCGUGGGGUGAGGAGCCCCGGCCCGACCUCAGCGGCGCCACAAAGCCAUGAAGAGGGGAAAUAAUUUUCCAAGGGGCUAAGAGUUGGACUUUCUGAAGCCAUCGAAACCUGCUGCUAGGCUCUCCCGCUGGGGUUUUGAGAGAGGUAAAGAAAUUGAGUUCCAGAAGAGUAAUUGACACAAUUGCCCCAUGUCACACAACACGGUGGUAUUGAAAGAGACAAGAAGGAAAGUUUCCUAACUUCAAACUUUGUGCUUUCUCCACUAUCCCGUGAGAGAAUUUGGACUGGCUACAAGCAAGGGGCACAGGGAGAGCUCUCCCUGAAGUUCUGACUGAGGGAAUUCCUUCCAAAAGAAACACAAUUGUCUUCAAUCUCCUGUCUGAAAUCUCACUAACCAGGGAAGAUUAAUCACCAAAGAAGAAAUUAAAGAUUAUCAGCUGGGCCCGGUGGCUCAUGCCUAUAAGCUCAGCACUUUGAGAGGCCAAGGCGGGAGGAUGGCUUGAGCCUAGGAGUCCGAGACCAGCCUGGGCAAUAUAGUGAGACUCCAUCUCUACAAAAAAUAAUAGCUGGGUGAGUUGGUGCACAUCUGUAGUCCCAGCUACUCAGGAGGCUGAGACAGGAGAGUCACUUGAGCUGGGCGGAGGCUGCAGUGAGCUGUGAUCGUGCCACUGCACUUCAGCCAGGGCAACAAAGCAAGACCCCUCAAAAAAAAUUAAAAGAAAAGAUUGUCCCCACAUAGUCCCAGACACACUUUUCAUCUAUUCUUCUGAGGAAUGGUGCCUGAGAGACUUUAUCUGCGUAAUUAGACAGCCUUUGUUCACAGUGCAAUUCUGCCACUAAACUUCUCAUAAAUUGUCACCAUCUCUCUCAGAGCCCAGACUAACUUUGUCCCAGGCUAUUGUCUGUUCUUUGAGCCAAUUCAUCUCCCCUAAAAAUUAUCUAUUCUUCCUCUAAAAUUACCUACAUCCCCUCCUUCCCUCUGCCUUAUGAAGAAGGUAUUUAACCUUCAAUAAUCUGGCCCUUCUUUGAGUUUUAUACUUUGUCUGACUCCCAUGUGCUUGUACAUUUAUAAAUUUGUAUGCCUGUUCUCCCAUUAAUCUGUCUAUUGUAAGUUUGUUUAUAGAUUCGAAUUCUCAAACCUUCAGGAGGUGAAAAGAAAGUUCCUUUUGCCCUUACAACAACGUGAGACUAGCUCUGAAGUUUUCAUUAGCUAUGUGAAGCUUAUAUCUCAGAAUAGCCUCACAUACACUGGUAAAGAUUAGCAGGUCAUUUGGGCUGAUGGCAUAGUCUGGAAUAACAGAGGAGGAAAUAAAAUUUUAAAAGCUCAUGAACCCAAGAGUAUGAUCUUCAGAGGAGAGAUUUCCUAUCUCUUAAAUUCUACGUAAAUAGUGAAGUCCUAUAUGGGGGGGAUCCUUCAUCUGGGGCCUACCUUGGGCAGAAUAAUGUAGUUGUACCUCAUUCUAUCAUAGCUAAAAGACAAAGUACUUUUUAAGACUUUGCAAAAUUUUGUUCAUGUUGCGUAUCUUUUUAAAGUCUGACUCUCUGCACUAAAAUAGGAUAGCCUAAACAGGGCUCUUUUCGGAGUAAAAUUAUUAUGAGCCCAGUAGUUUUCCCAGUAAGUAAGCUAUCAGAACUUACAAAAAUAUGAGACAGAGCUUUGCAGAUGUAGCUAGAGAAAGGUCAGUUGGUGGACUUGAACUUGUUUUUAGUUUAUUUAUGUAUUCUCCAAUACUCUAGACUGUUCUAGAAAUCACUAGAGAGAAAUAAUGGUGGUAUUCCAUGCCUAUGAUACAUCACAGACUACAUUUGGAGGACUGCAGAAAGAAGCAAAAACAGAAGUUUCCAUAAUGAGUGGUAGAGAUGUGCUAAAUGUCUUCUUUUUCAAACUUUAAUUUUUAAUUUUUAAUUUUUUUUAGAGAUGUGAUAUUGCUAUAUUGCCCAGGCUAUAGUGCAGUGACUAUUCACAGGUGCAGUCAUAGUACACUGCAACCCUGAACUCCUGGGCUCCAGCAAUCCUCCUGCCUAAGCAUCCUGAGUAGUUAGAACUACAGGUGCAUGCCACAAUACUGGGCUUAAUGCCUUCUUUACUGAUCCUUGAUGGUAAAGGGGAAGACCAUUUUAGAACCUUUGAUUCCUUGGACAUAAUCCCAUGGUACUGCUCUUUAAUAAAGAUAAAUUAUAAGGAAUUGGAUUCUAUAGGGAAGAAAUGGAUGGAAGUUGUAACAAAAUGUAAUAGUAAUGAAAUAUUAAUAGAAAGGCCUAAAUAGAAUCUGUGGCAUAACUCUCAAAAUAGUCCUUUAAUAACCUCCUUUUGAAAAUAUCAAGGUUAAGACCUAGAGACGUAAAGUCCUGCCCAAAGUCAAUUGUCUGGUUAGUGGCACACAGAGCACUAAAGUUUACAUCAGCAGGUUCCCAGUUCAGUACAUCUUCUAGAGCUUCUAAAAAUUAAUGUGAAGAUAGUCUUUGCUCUAUUGAAGCAUAAUUAUAAACAUCAAAUAUUUGUAAAAUAUCUUCUAUAUAGUAGGAUGUUUUUCCUUUUAUUUAUUAGUAAAUUUACCACAAUAUUAAUUUAGUUAGUAAAUUAGAAUUUUUCUUUCCCAUUCAUCAUUUAUGUCACCAGCAGGUAAUCCUACUCCAUCCUCCCACCACAUCUCAUUUCAUUAUCACCUGGCCUCCAGAGGGUGGAAUCACUUGGGCACUGCUCAAGCUUAUGAGAUCUUAAAAUUUAUUUUUAAAAUAUUUCAAAUCAAAAAGUUUUUGAGCUGUGAAAUUUAAUAAGAUAUUGAGCUUUCUUCUAGCCUUUUAUCCACUAAUUCUACUCUUAGAAAUUACUUCCUAAAAAAAUACUUUUUAAGAAAACCACACACACACAAAAUGUCCUCUAACUUUGUUCUUUUUUCUUCCAAGUUGUUUUGUCUGUUCUAGAUCUUCUGCACUUUAAUUUAAACUUUAGAGUCAGCUUGCUACUUCUACAAAGUAGCUGGCUGGGAUUUCUAUUAGAAUGCCUUGAAUAUACAGAUCAAUUUGGAAGAAAUGACGUCUUAACAAUAUAGAGUCAUCUAAUCUAGGAAUAUGGUAUAUUUCUUAAUUGACUUAGGUCUUCUUUAACAUUUAAUUUUACUCAGCAAUGUUUUAUAGUUUUCAGUGUACAGGUCUUGAACAUCUUUUGUCGAAUUUAUCCUUAAGUAUUUUACAGUUUUGAUGCCACUGUACAUGGCAAACUUUAAUUUUAAUUUCUGAUUGUUUAUUGCUAAUAUAAAGAAAUGCAAUUGGUUUUUGAUAUUGACUUUGUACCCUGCCACUGAACUAAACUCACUUUCAGUUUUAACAGCUUAUUUGCAGAUUCUUUAGGGUUUUUUGAUAGAUGACAAUAUCGUCUGUGAAUAAACAGAGAUUUAUGUCUCCCUUUCCAGUCUAUU
rnacentral:lncRNA from 1 species